UGGGGAAUAUUGCACAAUGGGGGAAACCCUGAUGCAGCGACGCCGCGUGAAGGAAGAAGUAUCUCGGUAUGUAAACUUCUAUCAGCAGGGAAGAAAAUGACGGUACCUGACUAAGAAGCCCCGGCUAACUACGUGCCAGCAGCCGCGGUAAUACGUAGGGGGCAAGCGUUAUCCGGAUUUACUGGGUGUAAAGGGAGCGUAGACGGAGCAGCAAGUCUGAUAUGGAAGGCAGGGGCUCAACCCCUGGACUGCAUUGGAAACUGUUGAUCUUGAGUACCGGAGGGGUAAGCGGAAUUCCUAGUGUAGCGGUGAAAUGCUUAGAUAUCAUGAAGAACUCCGAUCGCGAAGGCAAGUGCCCCGGGGUGCAACUGACGCUGAGGCUCGAAGGUGCGGGUAUCGAACAGGAUUAGAUACCC
rnacentral:rRNA from 1 species